rnacentral:rRNA from 1 species
GACGAACGCUGGCGGCGUGCUUAACACAUGCAAGUCGAACGGAAAGGCCCUGCUUUUGUGGGGUGCUCGAGUGGCGAACGGGUGAGUAACACGUGAGUAACCUGCCCUUGACUUUGGGAUAACUUCAGGAAACUGGGGCUAAUACCGGAUAGGAGCUCCUGCUGCAUGGUGGGGGUUGGAAAGUUUCGGCGGUUGGGGAUGGACUCGCGGCUUAUCAGCUUGUUGGUGGGGUAGUGGCUUACCAAGGCUUUGACGGGUAGCCGGCCUGAGAGGGUGACCGGCCACAAUGGGACUGAGGUACGGCCCAGAAUCCUACGGGAGGCAGCAGUGGGGAAUCUUGCACAAUGGGCGGAAGCCUGAUGCAGCAACGCCGCGUGCGGGAUGACGGCCUUCGGGUUGUAAACCGCUUUCGCCUGUGACGAAGCGUGAGUGACGGUAAUGGGUAAAGAAGCACCGGCUAACUACGUG